GUAAGGAAUAUUGGUCAAUGGACGCAAGUCUGAACCAGCCAUGCCGCGUGAAGGAUGAAGGCCCUCUGGGUCGUAAACUUCUUUUAUCAGGGAAGAAAUGUCUGAUUUCUAUCGGACUUGACGGUACCUGAGGAAUAAGCACCGGCUAACUCCGUGCCAGCAGCCGCGGUAAUACGGAGGGUGCAAGCGUUAUCCGGAUUUACUGGGUUUAAAGGGUGCGUAGGCGGGCCGAAAAGUCAGCGGUGAAAUACUCUCGCUUAACGAGGGAACUGCCGUUGAUACUGUCGGUCUUGAAUAUAGUGGAGGUGGGCGGAAUGUUACAUGUAGCGGUGAAAUGCUUAGAUAUGUAACGGAACACCUAUUGCGAAGGCAGCUCGCUACACUAUUAUUGACGCUGAGGCACGAAAGCGUGGGGAGCAAACAGGAUUAGAUACCCGAGUAGUCC
rnacentral:rRNA from 1 species